rnacentral:rRNA from 1 species
AUUGAACGCUGGCGGAAUGCUUUACACAUGCAAGUCGAACGGCAGCACGGGGGCAACCCUGGUGGCGAGUGGCGAACGGGUGAGUAGUACAUCGGAACGUGCCCGGUCGUGGGGGAUAACGUAGCGAAAGUUACGCUAAUACCGCAUACGAUCUGAGGAUGAAAGCGGGGGACCUUCGGGCCUCGCGCGAUCGGAGCGGCCGAUGUCAGAUUAGGUAGUUGGUGGGGUAAAGGCCUACCAAGCCGACGAUCUGUAGCUGGUCUGAGAGGACGACCAGCCACACUGGGACUGAGACACGGCCCAGACUCCUACGGGAGGCAGCAGUGGGGAAUUUUGGACAAUGGGCGCAAGCCUGAUCCAGCCAUUCCGCGUGAAGGACGAAGGCCUUCGGGUUGUAAACUGCUUUUGUAUGGAACGAAAAGGCUCUGGCUAAUACCUGGGGCUCAUGACGGUACCGUAAGAAUAAGCACCGGCUAACUACGUG